rnacentral:snRNA from 1 species
AUCUUCUGAGAAGGGUUC